rnacentral:rRNA from 1 species
ACGGGUGAGUAACGCGUGGGUAACCUGCCCUGUACAGGGGGAGUAACAGCUGGAAACGGCUGCUAAUACCGCAUAAGCGCACGAGGAGACAUCUCCUUGUGUGAAAAACUCCGGUGAUACAGGAUGGGCCCGCGUCUGAUUAGCUGGUUGGCAGGGUAACGGCCUACCAAGGCAACGAUCAGUAGCCGGUCUGAGAGGAUGAACGGCCACAUUGGAACUGAGACACGGUCCAAACUCCUACGGGAGGCAGCAUG